CAGUCGCCGCGGGAAUACGAAGGGGGCUAGCGUUGUUCGGAAUUACUGGGCGUAAAGCGCACGUAGGCGGACUUUUAAGUCAGGGGUGAAAUCCCGGGGCUCAACCUCGGAACUGCCUUUGAUACUGGAAGUCUUGAGUGUGGAAGAGGUGAGUGGAAUUGCGAGUGUAGAGGUGAAAUUCGUAGAUAUUCGCAGGAACACCAGUGGCGAAGGCGGCUUACUGGUCCACAACUGACGCUGAGGUGCGAAAGCGUGGGGAGCAAACAGGAUUAGAUACCCCAGUAGUCCCUGUCUCUUAUAC
rnacentral:rRNA from 1 species